GCUGCCGGGUGGAGGGGCCAGGCGAGUGUCCUUAUCCUAGCUAUUGGGGCUCCGGCCUGUAAGCCAGUUGGAGUCGUGUCGGCGAGAACGAUUGGGCCGAGCGGAGAAAGUCAUGUUGCUCUUCGUGGAGCAGGUAACAUCUAAAGGAACUGGCUUAAAUCCUAAUGCCAAAGUAUGGCAAGAAAUACCUCCAGGAAAUACUGAUGCCACUCCAGUAACUCAUGGAACUGAAAGCUCUUGGCAUGAAACAGCAGCCACAUCAGGGUCUCAUCCUGAGGGUAAUAGAGAACUUGCAGAUGAUAUGUGUAAGGAAUAUGAAGUAAUGUAUUCAUCUUGUGAAACCACAAGAACUACUACAGGCAUUGAAGAAUCAACUGAUGGAAUGAUUUUGGGACCAGAAGAUCUGAGUUACCAAAUAUAUGAUGUUUCUGGAGAAAGCAACUCAGCAAUUUCUACAGAAGAACUAAAAGAGUGUUUGAAGAAACAAUUAGAAUUCUGUUUCUCACGAGAAAAUUUGUCAAAGGAUCUUUACCUGAUAUCUCAAAUGGACAGUGAUCAGUUCAUCCCAAUUUGGACAGUUGCCAACAUGGAAGAAAUAAAAAAGCUGACCACAGACCCUGACCUAAUUCUUGAAGUGUUGAGAUCUUCUCCCAUGGUGCAAGUUGAUGAGAAGGGCGAGAAAGUGAGACCAAGUCAUAAGCGUUGUAUUGUAAUUCUUAAGAGAGAUUCCUGAAACAACACCAGUAGAGGAAGUAAAAGCUUUGUUUAAAAAUGAAAACUGCCCCAAGGUGAUAAGCUGUGAAUUUGCACACAAUAGCAACUGGUAUAUCACUUUCCAGUCAGACACAGAUGCACAGCAGGCUUUUAAAUACUUAAGAGAAGAAGUUAAGACAUUUCAGGGCAAGCCAAUCAUGGCAAGGAUAAAAGCCAUCAAUACGUUUUUUGCUAAGAAUGGUUAUCGAUUAAUGGAUUCUAGUAUGUAUAGUCCGCCCAUUCAAACUCAAGCACAGUAUGCCUCACCGGUCUUUAUGCAGCCUGUAUAUAAUCCUCACCAACAGUACUCUGUUUAUAGUAUUGUGCCUCAGUCUUGGUCUCCAAAUCCCACACCUUACUUUGAAACACCACUGGCUCCUUUUCCCAAUGGUAGUUUUGUGAAUGGCUUUAAUUCACCAGGAUCUUAUAAAACAAAUGCUGCUGCUGCUGCUGUGAAUAUGGGUCGACCAUUCCAAAAAAAUCGUGUGAAGCCUCAUUUUAGGUCAAGUGGUUCAGAACACUCAACAGAGGGCUCUGUGUCAUUGGGGGAUGGACCAUUGAACAGAUCUGGUUCAAGGAACUUUCCAACUGAACGACAUAACCCUACAGUAACAGGGCACCAGGAGCAAAGCUACCUUCCAAAAGAGACUCCCACUUUGCAGAUGGAACAGAAUGGGGACUACGGUAGGGGCAGGAGAACUCUCUUCAGAGGUCGAAGACGUCGGGAAGAUGAAAGGAUCCCAAGACCCCAUCCUUCAACAGCUGAAGCAAAGGCUCCAACACCAAAGUUUGACUUAUUAGCCUCAAAUUUUCCUCCUUUACCUGGAAGUUCAUCAAGAACGCCAGGUGAACUUGUUUUGGAGAGUAGGAUGUCUGAUGUUGUUAAAGGUGUCUGCAAAGAAAAGGAUAAGGAAGAGUUGAGAGUUAGUUGCCCAGUGACUGCAGAGGAUGAACAGACAGACUGCACCUCUGCCCAGCAACUCAGUAUGAGCACCAGUCCUCCAUGUACAGCUGAGCUUUCUGUAUUAAGCACAACUCAGCAAGAAAAGGAUCUAAUAGAGGAUUCUGCUGUUCAGAAAGAUGUUCCCAACCAGACAACUAUACCAGUUUCUUCCCCGAGUACUGCAAAGCCAUUGAGAACAAAUACUGCUUCACCGUGUAAUAGUAACAUAAGUGCAGCUGUAGCUGUGGCCCUACAGGAACCUCGGAAGCUAAGUUAUGCUGAAGUGUGCCAGAAGCCCCCUAAAGAGCCAUCUCCAGUUCUUGUACAGCCACUGAGAGAACUUCGCUCCAAUGCAGUAUCUCCCACCAAAAAUGAAGAGAAUGGAGCUCCUGAGAAGUCCUUCGAGAAACAACAUGAGAAGCCAGAAGCAAGGGCUAGUAAGGAUUACUCUGGCUUCCGAGGCAAUGCCAUUCCCAGGGGAGCAGCUGGAAAAAUCAGGGAACAGAGACGCCAGUUUGGCCAUAGGGCUAUACCUCAGGGAGUGACUCGACGUAAUGGCAAAGAGCAAUACGUGCCACCCAGAUCACCAAAGUAAACAAAAACAAAAAAACUGUUCAAAAACUUCUCUCUCUUCCCAUUAAACUUGAGCCUGGCUAUAUUGAACUGUUUUGGAGGGGAGGGCGUGGCCAGGAAGGAAACAAGAGAAAGUACAUCCUUAAAUCAUUAUGGGUUUUGGAGUUGUGAGCUAUAGAAUCCCAAAAUUCAUCUCGAAAGUGAUUUUAAAAUGCUGGAGGAUUCCAAUCAGUAUAAAUAUAUAUAUAUAUAUAUAUGUAUACAUAUAUAAAAAUAUAAUUUUUCUAUUUUUGUUUUUGAUUUUAAUUUGCAGAGAUCUUCUGCCUGGAAUCAAUUUUGAGGGUUCAGAUUUAGCUUGGGAGAAAAACACAUUAUACAUCCUUCAGUAUAGGAGAUGAGGGAGUGAGAGAAAAUAUUUUUUGAAGAAACAUUUCUGUAAAAUUAGAAAUUACUUUUUUUAAUCUAUUUAAAGUUUGGCUUGGAGAAUGCCAUUUCUGCCUAUAUGGCCUUGUGUUGCAAAACAGAUCAGUGGCUGGGGUGACUGUUGUGGUGUGAGUGUGUGCAAGUAUGAUUGAAGCCAAAUCUGUUGUCAUGUUAGUAAAUGAUUUGAAAACUGAAUGUAAUACUUGAGUAGAUUUUUUUUUUUUUCCAGUUUGAAAUUUAGUCUGUCUUUUUGAUCUUACUAAUAUUUCAUUCAACAAGCUGUUAAACUCUGAUUGUACUUGGGGAUGUGACUACCAAUCAGUUUGAUACUCAAGGAAAGAAUGGGGGUUAUUUGAAAAAUUAAAAUUUUGUGUUAUAUCUGAGGGGGUGGGUCAAAUGGAGCUCAGAGGUUUAAGCUGCCCUGUGAUUUUUCUUCCCCCCCUAAAAUAGGAAACGAUUUCUUUUUUUUUGUUGUUACUUUCUUCAUUACUCUGUUCUUUGACUAUCCACCCCCAAAAGCAAAAUAACCAAUCACCUACAGAAUUGUAUGUUUCUAGCUGCCUCGCUCAGUCUAGUCAAAUCAUAUAACUGUUCGAAAUUUCUGACUUGAACAUUAAAGUAUUUUACUCUUCUGGUCAUGUAUUUAGAACUUUAGAUCCCAGAAUGAUAGGGCAGACUGACCCUACAGUAAUUUAUUUGUGUUAGUGUUAAAGAUGAAACAUUGUAGCUGACUCUUAAAGUGUUAAAUAGUAUAGAUGUAAAAAGAAAUUUCUUUUUAAAGGUUUAAUUUGGGGACAACUUUUUCUGUUUACAAUGUAUUUAUCACCUUCCUUCUUUCCCUUUCUCAAAAAAAAAAAAAAAAAAGCAGUUUGGAAUUCACAGAAACAGAACCAGCAAGUCACAAAAUUUUUGAGUUAAGGUUAGAAAGAUAGUUAAAAUUAACAUAUAAUUUCUUAGUGGAUAAAGUUGUAGCUCUCACAUUAAAUAGGCAAGUUUACAUGCUGGUGUUUAGAAAAUGGCUAAAAAAUUAAAAACCAUGUUGCAUUAAUCUGUUUUAAGUCAUACCAUUUUCAGAGUUCUAUGUAAGGUGGGGUUUUGUUUUCUUUUUAGGGAUAGUUUGUGAUAGUAAUAACUGUCCCUUAUGUUAGUGAAUUACAUAUGUACAAAUUGAAACUGUAAAUUGUGAACACUGGAAAGCACCAUUGUGACAUAGAGUAAACAUCUUAGUAAUAUAUUAAAAUGAAUGUAAAUGAGGGUUAAAAUUACAUUACUGUGAAACUCAUCUUCCAACUCUAAGUUAAGCUUUGGAGAUUUGUAUUAGUAGGUAACUGUUCAGAGCUUUGAAAACACCGCACAUUUCUGUACAAGCCAGAAUUAUCAUUUCUUUGUAACUUAUUAUUCAGCUUGGCAAUUGCUUUUGAUUUGGUGGAUUGAUAACAUGAUAUAAUAUAUUUAAGCAGUUUGAAACUAUUCAUUUCUACACACUAUUUUCUACUAAAUGAAACAUACCAUAAAACUACCUGUGCUGAAAUUUGGGGGAAGUUUAGGUCCUUUAAAAAAAAAAAGUAUUAAUAAUCACUGACUACAUCUAUGAUAAAAGUGCUUAUUUUGGUUUACUUAGAUAAUGCUGCAGCUGGUGGAAAUGAUAAACGUUUAAAGUGUUAACACUCUGUGAAUGUAUUGGAUUUAAGAGAAUAAACAUUUUA